GAUGAACGCUAGCGACAGGCUUAACACAUGCAAGUCGAGGGGCAGCGGGGAGUAGCAAUACUUCGCCGGCGACCGGCGCACGGGUGAGUAACACGUGUGCAACCAACCCCGUACCGGGAGAUAACCCGCGGAAACGUGGACUAACAUCCCAUGACACCUUUUCCCCGCAUGGGGGAGAGUUUAAAACCCCGGUGGUACGGGACGGGCACGCGCGACAUUAGGUAGUUGGCGGGGUAAUGGCCCACCAAGCCGACGAUGUCUAGGGGUUCUGAGAGGAAGGUCCCCCCACAUUGGAACUGAGACACGGUCCAAACUCCUACGGGAGGCAGCAGUGGGGAAUAUUGGUCAAUGGACGCGAGUCUGAACCAGCCAAGUAGCGUGAAGGAUGACUGCCCUAUGGGUUGUAAACUUCUUUAUAUGGGAAUAAAGUUGUCCACGUGUGGAUUUUUGUAUGUACCAUAUGAAUAAGGAUCGGCUAACUCCGUG
rnacentral:rRNA from 1 species